UACGUAGGGUGCAAGCGUUUGUCCGGAAUUAUUGGGCGUAAAGAGCUUGUAGGCGGUUUUGUUGCGUCGGCUGUGAAAACCUGGGGCUCAACCCCGGGCCUGCAGCCGAUACGGGCAGCUAGAAUUCGGUAGGGGGAGACUGGAAUUCCUGGUGUAGCGGUGAAAUGCGCAGAUAUCAGGAGGAACACCGGUGGCGAAGGCGGGGUCUCUGGGCCGAAAUUGACGCUGAGGAGCGAAAAGCGUGGGGGAGCAAACAGG
rnacentral:rRNA from 1 species